rnacentral:rRNA from 1 species
GAUGAACGCUGGCGGCGUGCCUAAUACAUGCAAGUCGAGCGAACGGACGAGAAGCUUGCUUCUCUGAUGUUAGCGGCGGACGGGUGAGUAACACGUGGAUAACCUACCUAUAAGACUGGGAUAACUUCGGGAAACCGGAGCUAAUACCGGAUGAUAUUUUGAACCGCAUGGUUCAAAAGUGAAAGACGGUCUUGCUGUCACUUAUAGAUGGAUCCGCGCUGCAUUAGCUAGUUGGUAAGGUAACGGCUUACCAAGGCAACGAUGCAUAGCCGACCUGAGAGGGUGAUCGGCCACACUGGAACUGAGACACGGUCCAGACUCCUACGGGAGGCAGCAGUAGGGAAUCUCCCGCAAUGGGCGAAAGCCUGACGGAGCAACGCCGCGUGAGUGAUGAAGGUCUUCGGAUCGUAAAACUCUGUUAUUAGGGAAGAACAUAUGUGUAAGUAACUAUGCACAUCUUGACGGUACCUAAUCAGAAAGCCACGGCUAACUACGUG